UACGGAGGUGGCAAGCGUUGUUCGGAAUUACUGGGCGUAAAGGGCGCGUAGGCGGCAAGGCAAGUCAGGUGUGAAAGCCCCGAGCUUAACUCGGGAAUUGCAUCUGAAACUGCUGUGCUUGAGUUCUGGAGGGGGUAGUGGAAUUCCCAGUGUAGCGGUGAAAUGCGUAGAUAUUGGGAGGAACACCUGCGGCGAAGGCGGCUACCUGGACAGAAACUGACGCUGAGG
rnacentral:rRNA from 1 species